CACAUGAAAAUGAUGUUAUAAUUUCUAAAUAGUCAUGACUUACAGCAUUCAUUCUGAUUCCGUAACAACCCGAUGUAUGUGUUCUGAAUCUUGCUUGUGUUCUUUCUAAAGGAAGAAAAAUGUUCUAGCUUUCAGGUGCAUAUGUACAGUUUAAGUCCUCCAAGUUGAUCUAAGCUUUGAUCCAACCUUCAGGUUCCUCAGGAAAGUGGUACCAUUUACAUUGAUGGCAUCCAGGACAUACCCAGCUUCAGACUCCCUGCACUGCAUGUUCGUACAGAUGAAAUGCAACGCUCAAGAUGAAGCUGUCAAGUUUCAGCGAUUCACGUGUCGUCUCAAAGAGCGCGAUCGCAUCGUCCACAACACCGUGCUCCAGGUACACCCUCAUCAUGGUCCUGCAGCAGGCCAGAUCGGGAGCCAAGCCUGCCUUCAUUCGGUUGAAGAUCCCCUGGGCAUCACUGAUCUUGCCUUCCUUCAGAAAGGAGAAAAUCAGGUGGCUGAAAUGAGGGCAGGAAGGGGUUCUGUUGCUAUUCAGCAUCAUCUCGAAUUCUCGAUGGCUUCCUCCGCUUCCAGGUAGCGUUUACCCUCAGUGUCAGAUUGGCUUUUGUUCAGCGACCUGCAAGCUUCUCUCUUUGUGCUUGCAGUUGUCUUUAGCUCUACAUCCCACCAAAAUGGUUAGCAAUUAGCACUUCGCCUGGAGAAAGAUUAGCACUUCGUUCUGGAUGCAUAAUAAUAUCUAUGAAUCUGGAAAAAUCAAAACGACCUACAAUUUGAAACGGAGGGAGCAGAACAAAGAUCGGUUCUUGCAGCAUUCAAAACGGCAAAGCCGACUCCUAUGCAUUCUCUUUUCAGGUGCUGGUUCAGUCCGCUACUGUAAGACGUAAUUACAAGAUGUGCAGGCUCUGAAGACUUGAGGCCUGUUCGAAUGGGUUCGGUUACUACUGCAAACUGGGACCAAGAAGAAUUAGUUGAUGGUGAUCUCAGCCAGAUAGCUAUAAUCUGAACAAGCCAGCAAAUUUCUCUGUGCAUUUGCAACCAAAUCCGAACGAGCUCGUCAGAUCCAACAAAUUCUGGACGCAUUUGGCCUUUGUUUGGGCGAGGACGGCCGGGUGCCGCAGGCGGUGACGAGGUAUUCCUCGGCGACGAAGGCACCGGCGGGUUUGGUGGUGGCGGCGGCGGUGCUGUAGAGGACGAGAUGGUGGAGGGAGGAAGCAGCGGGGAGUGGCCGCGGGAAGGAGGUGGCUUCGGACGCGGAGCAUCUCGAACUUGCGAGGCCAACGAGUCGAUGACGACGAUGAGCGACGAGGUGGCGGCCAUCGGCCGUCGCCGUCGGCGGCGGGAGGAGAGAGCGAUGGCUAUCUCGGCGGGGCGGGCAGAACAUUUACCGACCACCCAGGCCGGCGGCACGGCGAGCACCGGAGGGAGGAAUUGGACGCCGGCGAGGCGACGUAGAGGAGGCCGACCACCUCGGCGAACUCGGAUAGAGGUGGAAGGCCCUAGCCUACCUCCGCCCCACCACCACCUCAAGGAAGACGAGGAGGCCAAGGUGGUGGCGAGGCCGACGGCGACGAGGACGAAACGGCGGGGGCGCGUUGCCGGCGGACGGGAGGAGCACGAGAAGCGCUCCAUGUCUGCGCACGCGUCCGGCAGAACGGUGCAUCCGGAUUACGCCGCCGUACGCUGCCGCUGGGAGGCUGGCCGGGAUUAAUAAUUUCUUGUUCACCGGCACGGCAGGUAUCAGGAGGCCUUACGGGCCUGCGCUGGCGUCAGGCCGCAGCUGUUGGCAAGGUAUUUCUCGACGACGAACUGUGCUGUGCUGUUGGCGUGGUGGUGGCGGCUGUGCUGUGUCCUGUGUAGGAGGAGGUGGCCGGAGGACGCGGCGGGGAGAGGCGAGGCAGCCUGGCGGCGGGAAGGAGAUGGCUUCGGAGGCGGAGCAUCGCGUCUGGCAGCGCGCCGCGCGGGAUCUGAUUGGCUUUUGUUCAGCGACCUGCAAAGCUUCUCUCUUUGUACUUCAAGUUGUCGUUAGUUCUAGAUGUCAACAAAAUGGUUGGCAUUGCCCUUAAAAAAAUGGUUGGCAUUUCGCCUGGAGGAUCGAGAACCAACGUGUAAGCGAGGAACUGUGGUGUGUAGAACAAAGAUGAUCGGUUCUCACAACAUUCAAAACGGCAAAGCCGACUCCUAGGCAUUUUUUUCAGCUGCUGGUUCAGUCCACUACUGUAUGAAGACUGUAAUUACAACGAUGUGCAGACUCUGAA